AUUGAACGCUGGCGGCAUGCCUUACACAUGCAAGUCGAACGGUAACGGGCCUUCGGGUGCCGACGAGUGGCGAACGGGUGCGUAAUACAUCGGAACGUGCGCGAUCGUGGGGGAUAACGAGGCGAAAGCUUUGCUAAUACCGCAUACGAUCUACGGAUGAAAGCCGGGGACCGCAAGGCCUUGCGCGGACGGAGCGGCCGAUGGCAGAUUAGGUAGUUGGUGGGGUAAAGGCUUACCAAGCCGACGAUGCGUAGCUGGUCUGAGAGGAUGAUCAGCCACACUGGAACUGAGACACGGUCCAGACUCCUACGGGAGGCAGCAGUAGGGAAUCUUGGGCAAUGGGCGAAAGCCUGAUGGAGCAAUGCCGCGUGAGGGAUGAAGGUCUUCGGAUUGUAAACCUCUGUUAUAAGGGAAGAAAAAAUGUGUAAGAAAACAGGCACGUCAUGACGGUACCUAAAGAGAAAGCAACGGCUAACUACGUG
rnacentral:rRNA from 1 species